GAUGAACGCUGGCGGCGUGCCUAAUACAUGCAAGUCGAGCGAACAGAUGAGGAGCUUGCUCCUCUGACGUUAGCGGCGGACGGGUGAGUAACACGUGGAUAACCUACCUAUAAGACUGGGAUAACUUCGGGAAACCGGAGCUAAUACCGGAUAAUAUAUUGAACCGCAUGGUUAAAUAGUGAAAGACGGUUUUGCUGUCACUUAUAGAUGGAUCCGCGCCGCAUUAGCUAGUUGGUAAGGUAACGGCUUACCAAGGCGACGAUGCGUAGCCGACCUGAGAGGGUGAUCGGCCACACUGGACCUGAGACACGGUCCAGACUCCUACGGGAGGCAGCAGUAGGGAAUCUUCCGCAAUGGGCGAAAGCCUGACGGAGCAACGCCGCGUGAGUGAUGAAGGUCUUCGGAUCGUAAAACUCUGUUAUUAGGGAAGAACAAAUGUGUAAGUAACUAUGCACGUCUUGACGGUACCUAAUCAGAAAGCCACGGCUAACUACGUG
rnacentral:rRNA from 1 species